rnacentral:rRNA from 1 species
UACGUAGGGGGCAAGCGUUGUCCGGAUUUAUUGGGCGUAAAGAGCGUGUAGGCGGUUUGGUAGGUCCGCUGUGAAAACUCGAGGCUCAACCUCGAGACGCCGGUGGAAACCAUCAGACUAGAGUCCGGAAGAGGAGAGUGGAAUUCCUGGUGUAGCGGUGAAAUGCGCAGAUAUCGGGAGGAACACCUGUGGCGAAGGCGGCUUUCUGGGCCUUACCUGACGCUGAGACGCGAAAGCGUGGGGAGCGAACCGG